CAUGCAAGUCGAACGAGGAUAUAUCCUUCGGGAUAUAAGCCGAGUGGCGCAAGGGUGAGUAAUGCAUAGAUUACCUGCCUCUAGGAUAAGGACAACUUUGUGAAAACGAAGCUAAUACUUAAUAAUACAAGUGGAAAUAAUUUCCAUUUGUCAAUGGGAGGGUAGCAAUAUCUUUUGCCUGGAGAGGGGUUUAUGUCCUAUCAGCUUGUUGGUGGGGUAAUGGCCUACCAAGGCGAAGACGGGUAGCCGGUCUUAGAGGAUGGUCGGCCACACUGGGACUGAGACACUGCCCAGACUUCUACGGAAGGCUGCAGUCGAGAAUCUUUCGCAAUGCCCGAAAGGGUGACGAAGCGACGCCGCGUGAGUGAGGAAGGCCUUCGGGUUGUAAAGCUCUGUCAGGAGUUAAGAAAUAUAAGUGUGCUAAUACCACAUUUAUUUGACGAAGGCUCCAAAGGAAGCCACGGCUAACUCUGUGCCAGCAGCCGCGGUAAUACAGAGGUGGCAAGCGUUGUUCGGAAUUAUUGGGCGUAAAGAGCACGUAGGUGGGUUUGUAAGUCAGAUGUGAAAGCCUUCUGUUCAACGGAAGAAUUGCAUCUGAAACUGCGAGUCUUGAGUGUAGGAGGGGAGAAUGGAACUUCUGGUGGAGCGGUGAAAUGCGUAGAUAUCAGAAGGAACGCCGGCGGCGAAAGCGAUUCUCUGGCCUAUUACUGACGCUCAGUGUGCGAAAGCUAGGGGAGCAAACGGGAUUAGAUACCCCGGUAGUCCUAGCCGUAAACGAUGGGCACUAAGUAGAGGGAAUUACCGAUGUUCUCUCUGCCGUAGCUAACGCAUUAAGUGCCCCGCCUGGGGAGUACGGCCGCAAGGCUAAAACUCAAAAGAAUUGACGGGGGCUCGCACAAGCGGUGGAGCAUGUGGCUUAAUUCGAUGCAACGCGAAGAACCUUACCGGGGCUUGACAUGGUAGAAGUAGGAACCCGAAAGGGUAACGAACGGUAUCCAGUCCGUAACUAUCACAGGUGUUGCAUGGCUGUCGUCAGCUCGUGUCGUGAGACGUUGGGUUAAGUCCCCUAACGAGCGAAACCCUUGUUUUAGUUACCAGCGGGUUGUGCCGGGUACUCUAGAAAGACUGCCGUCGUCAAGACGGAGGAAGGUGGGGAUGACGUCAAGUCAUCAUGGCCCUUAUGCCCCGGGCUGCACACGUGCUACAAUGGUCGGUACAAACGGAAGCGAAGCCGAGAGGUGAAGCGAAUCCUAAAAAGCCGAUCUCAGUUCGGAUUGGAGGCUGAAAUUCGCCUCCAUGAAGUUGGAAUCGCUAGUAAUCGCGGAUCAGCAUUGUCGCGGUGAAUAUGUUCCCGAGCCUUGUACACACCGCCCGUCAAGCCACCCAAGCAGGAUGCACCCGAAAACAUUAUAUCUAACCAGGUUUACCUGGAGGAAAAUGUUGAAGGAGUGUUUUGUGAGGAGGACUAAGUCGUAACAAGGUAGUCGUAGGAGAACCUGCGGCUGGAUCACCUCCUUUCU
rnacentral:rRNA from 1 species